UUUUGGUUGCGAUGGCACUUCUAAACAAUCGGUCCCUUGAUUGCGGAAUAAUAUAGUUCUCAUCAAAAUGCAUUUUGCAAACAAAUCCUCGACGACGAAUUGUCUCAGGUGCAAAUGCGGAUAGGAUUUGGAAACUGGUACAUUUUUAUUGCAGUUGCACAGCAUCCAUACAUAGCACAGGAAUGUUUCCCCGUAGACAUGUUAUCUACAAAUCAAAAAUCAUUUUUAUUACCAGAGAUUACAAAGAAGUACAAUAUCUACUGUAAACAAUUUUUUUUUUGAAAAUAUGAUAACGGGCAAUAAAUUUUAAAUCAUGCAAUAA